UACGGGGGGAGCAAGCGUUGUUCGGAUUUACUGGGCGUAAAGGGCGCGUAGGCGGCCACCGCAAGUCAAUUGUGAAAUCUCCGGGCUUAACUCGGAAAGGUCAACUGAUACUGCGGGGCUAGAGUGCGGAAGGGGCAACUGGAAUUCUCGGUGUAGCGGUGAAAUGCGUAGAUAUCGAGAGGAACACCAGUGGCGAAGGCGGUCUCCUGGGGUUAUCUUGACGCUGAUGCGCGAAAGCUGGGGGAGCGAACGGG
rnacentral:rRNA from 1 species